CUGCGGCUGCGCUGGGCGCCCGGCAGCGCUCGCCUGGCCGUGGGGCGUCACAAAGUCUGAGGCGUGACCCCGCAGAUUUCAGGGGACAAACGUGUCAUCCCUGUCGGGGAGGAGUGUCGGGAUCUCCUCUGCGGCCUGCUGUGGGCUGCAGGAACCACCCACCUCUGCCGCAGCAGAAGAGGGGUGGUGAGAAAAUACGUUUCUGUUCGCAUGUUUUCUCCUUUUCUUGCAGCAACACCCCUUGAAAGCACGACCUUGUCAGGCUAGUGUUUGUCUUAUAUUGGAUGGUAAGAUGGCGAGCAGGGGACUGCACUUGCAGGUAUCUGGCUUCCUGUUCCCAGUUACAACACCCAGGUAAUUAAAAGGGGGUUGUAGUAGUUGUGCCUUAAUCAAGCUGAUCUCCUCCUUUUAAAACUUCUCUCAUGCGUCUUCUAUAGCUCCAGUCUGGAAUAUCAUCUAUAUGAGGGUAGUACUUUGAGGACCAACCCCUGGGGAUGCUGUUGACUGCACUUGCCUCAGGCUUGCGUGUGUUGUUUCUGCCUGGCAUUGCUCUCCUUGCAGUGUGGGGGUGAAAAGGGGAGAGGCAGAGCACUUAGUGCUGCAGCUGGAGAGGCCAGCAAAAGGUCAAGAAGCAGAACCACUGCAGGCAAGAGAGAGCCUGCCUCUUCAGGUGAAGAAGGAUCCCUCUUUGCAGUCCGCAUCCAGCCAGGCUGCCAGUGUGCACCGCAGGGUGGAGGACAGCCAAGUGCCCAGCGUUACAGAAGAGGGAGGGAGGAGAGAAGGAGAAAGAAACGUCUGAACUGAAAAAUUCUCCCAGUAGUGCUAAGAGCGAGAGCUGCGGUGAGUCCUGGGCCCUUGGGUCCCUGUGGCCCCUCUUGUGCAUUCCAGGCCCUCCCCACUGCUCCCCUGGCCCCCUCUCUUUUGCAUGUGGCUGUGAUUUUUUUUUUUUUUUUUUUCCCCUGUACCUCUCUUUUCUAUUCUUGUGUCCUGCUCCCUCUCCCACUUUUUUU